UCGAAAGCCUGUCCCAGUUCGGACUGGAGUCUGCAACCCGACUCCACGAAGUUGGAUUCGCUAGUAAUCGCGCAUCAGCCAUGGCGCGGUGAAUACGUUCCCGGGCCUUGUACACACCGCCCGUCAAGCCAUGGGAGCCGGGGGCGCCUGAAGUCCGGGACCGCGAGGACCGGCCUAGGGCGAAACUGGUAACUGGGCGUAAGUCGUAACAAGGUAUC
rnacentral:rRNA from 1 species